CAGCAGCCGCGGUAAUACGUAGGGUGCAAGCGUUAAUCGGAAUUACUGGGCGUAAAGCGUGCGCAGGCGGUUAUGUAAGACAGUUGUGAAAUCCCCGGGCUCAACCUGGGAACUGCAUCUGUGACUGCAUAGCUAGAGUACGGUAGAGGGGGAUGGAAUUCCGCGUGUAGCAGUGAAAUGCGUAGAUAUGCGGAGGAACACCGAUGGCGAAGGCAAUCCCCUGGACCUGUACUGACGCUCAUGCACGAAAGCGUGGGGAGCAAACAGGAUUAGAUACCCGAGUAGUCCCUGUCUCUUAUAA
rnacentral:rRNA from 1 species